rnacentral:lncRNA from 1 species
UGUAAUCUAGGGUUGAAAUUAGGGGAAAAGGGUAAGGCUUUUCGAUUGUCUUUGAUUUAGAGCUCGUAUUGGGGUCAAAUUUGAAAAUAAAUUGUAUAUUCGGGCUUGAGUUUGAAUGGGUGACAUGGAAUUGGUUCGAACCUCGGGUUUCGACCAAGCGGGCCCGGGGUCGAUUUUUGGGAUUUUGGGAAGAAAGAUUAGAAAUUCCUAUUUAGGCAUUGGGUUUAGUUUGUUUAGCUAUUAUUAAUAUUGU